CCUACGGGAGGCAGCAGUGGGGGAUAUUGCACAAUGGGGGAAACCCUGAUGCAGCGACGCCGCGUGUGUGAAGACGGUCCUCUGGAUUGUAAACCACUGUCCCCAGGGACGAAGAUGACGGUACCUGGGGAGGAAGCUCCGGCUAACUACGUGCCAGCAGCCGCGGUAAUACGUAGGGAGCGAGCGUUGUCCGGAGUUACUGGGUGUAAAGGGAGCGUAGGCGGGACUGCAAGUUGGGUGUCAAAUCUACCGGCCCAACCGGUAGCCGCACUCAAAACUGCAGUGCUGGAGUGAAGUAGAGGCAGGCGGAAUUCCUAGUGUAGCGGUGAAAUGCGUAGAUAUUAGGAGGAACACCAGUGGCGAAGGCGGCCUGCUGGGCUUUUACUGACGCUGAGGCUCGAAAGUGUGGGGAGCAAACAGGAUUAGAUACCCCUGUAGUC
rnacentral:rRNA from 1 species